AGGGAUUUGGUCUAGUGGUAUGAUUCUCGCUUUAGGUGCAAGAGGUCCCGACUUCGCUUCUCGGAAUGCAUC